UACGGGGGGAGCAAGCGUUGUUCGGAUUUACUGGGCGUAACGGGCGCGUAGGCGGCCAGCACAAGUCAGUUGUGAAAUCUCCGGGCUUAACUCGGAAAGGUCAACUGAUACUGUGCGGCUAGAGUGCAGAAGGGGCAACUGGAAUUCUCGGUGUAGCGGUGAAAUGCGUAGAUAUCGAGAGGAACACCUGCGGCGAAGGCGGGUUGCUGGGCUGACACUGACGCUGAUGCGCGAAAGCCAGGGGAGCGAACGGG
rnacentral:rRNA from 1 species